rnacentral:rRNA from 1 species
UACGGAGGGUGCAAGCAUUAAUCGGAUUUAUUGGGCGUAAAGGGGGCGUAGGCGGACUUGCAAGCCAGACGUGAAAGCCCAGGGCUCAACCCUGGGACUGCGUUUGGAACUACAAAUCUAGAGGAUAGGCGGAGAAAACGGAAUUCCACAAGUAGCGGUGAAAUGCGUAGAUAUGUGGAAGAACACCGGUGGCGAAGGCGGUUUUCUAGCUUAUUCCUGACGCUGAGGCCCGAAAGCUAGGGGAGCAAACAGG